CUUCAUUCACUCCACGUGAUAUACCUUUAUCUUUGAGCCAAAUACACUAUACCUUUGUGCUCCAUCUUGUACCUCUUUGUGAAUCAAGAGUUGUUUGGUCCUUAACCCAAACACCUAAUUCCUCUCUUUUUUCGGUUGUUCCAGUAUAGUGAUACAAGUGCUAUACACCCUCACUUGUCGGUUCAUACCUGUUUAUUCUUGGGUUCACGCUUUCACCCUUUUUGGAGUUCAAAUAACAUUAUUCUUUGGUUCAAACCAUACUUCGAUCACACUUCUUUUC
rnacentral:lncRNA from 1 species